CCCUGCAUUCGUAAGUGAUCAUGGGCUACCCCCAUCCUGGUCAUUGGUAAUGCAGGCAGAGGAAAUGUGGAAAGGGUCACCCCGUGUUCUGGAGGGUCUGCAUCCCCCUUUCCAGUUCCGGAGCUUUCCAACA
rnacentral:snoRNA from 1 species